GGCAGGUAUAUAUGCAGACUAGGGGUUUGUGACAGAGAAACUUGGUCAUCAUUCAGCAGCAGCAGGUUUACACCUACUAGAGAGGAGAGCUUGGAAAACUAAGAAUUUAAAGAAAGCCCCUUUUUCCCUCUGUACCCAAGUGGCCCAUUUCUUCCUUAUAAUGGAAAGAAUCAAGUUCACUCGGUGUUCUUUGAGGCACAGAGGAGUCACUUCUCUACAUUUACGAUGCAUCCAAGGUUAUGAUUAGUUGCAGGCAAGACUAAGAAGGUUAGCAUCUAGUAACUUACACGGAACAUUCCUUGACUCCUAUCAAGCCUUCACUGUAUAACGAAUGCUGAUUAUUUAAAAAAUAGAAGACCUGAACUUUUAUAACGGAAACAACAAUCCAAGUUAUGAACUCUACUAAAGAAAAUACAUUCCUCAGCAAUUUUCACCCUGCAAGGAAAAGGGUCUCAGAUAAUCCCUUUUUAAAUUCAUACCUGAAAAGAAAUAAUGUCAGUGAUGACGAGAAAUUCCAAGCCUACAAAAGGGUUGAAGAUGAUGUCGGUGUGCCAAACAAAAAAAGGAGGCUCCUUUAUGAAACCCCUGGUUUACCUCCCAGCACUUCUGGUUUGGUAAGAAAAGUAGAUGUUCGAAGAACAUACUUACAGAAGCCACUGAUAUCAGAAACAACACAGCCUCAAACAGCAGACGUGAUCUCACAAACUUCAGAAGACAAAAACUCCUCCCUUGCCUGGAUGGAUUCCCAAGAUGAACAGGGAAGAAAGGAGGAAGAAAAUCUAUUUGGCUCUUUAAAAAAAAUGAUUAAUGAAAACCAAGAGCUAAGGAAAGAAAAUGCAAAAAUGAAGCAAAUACUUGUAGCACUCCAGAAUUCUGUCCCAUUCAGAUUGUUUUCUCCUGAGGUGCAAGAUUCAACAGUACAUUACUUACGCCUCAUUCUGCAGCAUUUGGAAAAAGCAGUUAGCAUGAGUUUUUUUCAACUAUCCCCAAAUGAAGACUCAAGCAAUAAGAAAUACCUCCAGGGCAUAAUCCUUCCUUCAGAACCAUUUAUCAUCUUUGAUGAAGUGAACCCUGACAAGGGUAAAAAUGAAGAGCCUUUGGUUACUGAUCCUAAUAAUUCAGAUGCAUAUUCUGAAGUACUGUUGGACCCUAAUAAACUGUAUAAUGUACUGCAGAAGGCAAAGCAGCAUAAAUUUCGUCAAGAAUUCGUCUUGUUAAGUGAACUUAUAGAUCUGUUGUUCAGUCCUCGGGAGCUGGCAGAAGCCUAUGGAUUGGGCCUGAAAGGGAAGGAUGCAAGAAAAUGGACUCUUGACAAAGUUAAAAUGUCAGCUUGUGAAGAGGAGACAAUAUACAAACGACCAUGUCUAUACAAGAUUGUUAGAGGGUAAAUAGAAGGCAAAUUCCUGAAGAAGAGGACUCUGGAAGAAGCAAGUAUGGGAAGCCAAAUCUAAAUCUGGGCCAGGUCUUUAUCAACUAUGCUAUGCUGCCUCUCAUCUUCAUCAUGAAGGUAAAUCUAGCUGCUCUUGAAUCACUGCUCACCAUCCUGGUAUUAAAAAAAUGUGCGGCAAGCAGAGUCUGAGCUCAGAAUCUAGUUACUGCCACUUGCUAACUGGAUGACUUUAAGAAGGUCACUCUCCUCUGUGGGCCUCAAUUCUACACCUGUAAAAACAGCAUUGUUUAGCCUCUCCAAGGCCCCAUCAAUCUCUAAGACCAUGUAGUGUUGAACCAAGAUCUAGAUUCAGAAAUUCCACUUGAGGUCUGUGUGAUCCCAGUGAUGUCACUCACUUAUCUCACAAUCUCAAACAGAUAAACAGAUGUCACACUGCCAUUUUCUCUACCUAUGGACUUUUGAAAGAUGACUCCUUCUUUGCCCUGGAUCCAAACAUCCCAGCUGUACCCUGACAGAGGUGAUUCUAUCCAGAAGACAGUCUGCAUUCCACAACUGGAAUAGGACUUUGGGACUCCAUCCGCCAGCUGCUAUGGGAUGAGAAUUCUGAUUGGGGUUGACAGAUAGCCACUACUAGCUGCUGAUUCAUGGACUGUGCUGUAUUAAAAUAGCCAGUUCUGUCUUACUACUUCUACUGAACAUCUUAUAUGCAUCUGCCAAGACCAUUUUCUUAAUGAAAAAAAUAUGCGUGCUUUUCUGAACUCAGCUCAUCUCAGAAUUUUGAGAAAGGGCCACCCUAAAUAUUUAUCCUUCUCCAAAUUAAUUCUCAUCCAGGAUCAGUGGUAGUUCACAUUAGAUAAGUUAGGAGAGGAGAUGUUAAUGUGACAUGGCGGUUAGCUGCUUUUAAAAAAUUCAGGGUAAAAGUUGCCAUCAUCUUGUGAUUUAAAAUAUCCACUGGUUUGGGAACAGAAAUCCCAGCCUUGAGAGCUCAAUAACGACCGCAA